rnacentral:rRNA from 1 species
AUUGAACGCUGGCGGCAGGCCUAACACAUGCAAGUCGAGCGGAUGAAGGGAGCUUGCUCCUGGAUUCAGCGGCGGACGGGUGAGUAAUGCCUAGGAAUCUGCCUGGUAGUGGGGGAUAACGUCCGGAAACGGGCGCUAAUACCGCAUACGUCCUGAGGUAGAAAGUGGGGGAUCUUCGGACCUCACGCUAUCAGAUGAGCCUAGGCCGGAUUAGCUAGUUGGUGGGGUAAAGGCCUACCAAGGCGACGAUCCGUAACUGGUCUGAGAGGAUGAUCAGUCACACUGGAACUGAGACACGGUCCAGACUCCUACGGGAGGCAGCAGUGGGGAAUAUUGGACAAUGGGCGAAAGCCUGAUGCAGCCAUGCCGCGUGUGUGAAGAAGGUCUUCGGAUUGUAAAGCACUUUAAGUUGGGAGGAAGGGCAGUAAGUUAAUACCUUGCUGUUUUGACGUUACCAACAGAAUAAGCACCGGCUAACUUCGUG